rnacentral:rRNA from 1 species
GAUGAACGCUAGCGGCAGGCCUAACACAUGCAAGUCGAGGGGUAGCAGGAUUAAGCUUGCUUAAUUGCUGACGACCGGCGCACGGGAGCGUAACGCGUAUGCAACCUACCUUAUACUGGGGUAUAGCCCGGAGAAAUUCGGAUUAAUCCCCCAUAGUACUAAUGAAUCGCAUGGUUUAUUAGUUAAAGCAUUGCGGUAUAAGAUGGGCAUGCGUCCUAUUAGCUAGAUGGUGAGGUAACGGCUCACCAUGGCUACGAUAGGUAGGGGGACUGAGAGGGUGGUCCCCCACACUGGUACUGAGACACGGACCAGACUCCUACGGGAGGCAGCAGUGAGGAAUAUUGGUCAAUGGGCGCAAGCCUGAACCAGCCAUGCCGCGUGCAGGAAGAAUGCCCUAUGGGUUGUAAACUGCUUUUAUUUGGGAAUAAACCUCUUUACGUGUAGAGAGCUGAAGGUACCAAAUGAAUAAGCACCGGCUAACUCCGUGCCAGCAGCCGCCGUAA